rnacentral:misc_RNA from 1 species
ACAAAAGGGAAAAACGGCUCGGGCGGGCGCAAGUCCGCUCGUAGUCAAUCCCGAAAUCCUGUAUUCACCCCAAGUUCCUUUAAAACUUACAAAUAAAAAACUUGCAAAAAGACCACCUCCGUCAGGUGGCGCUUAAUGCAUACGUGA